rnacentral:rRNA from 1 species
AACGAACGCUGGCGGCAGGCUUAACACAUGCAAGUCGAGCGCCCCGCAAGGGGCGCGGCAGACGGGUGAGUAACGCGUGGGAACGUACCCUUUGCUACGGAAUAGCUCCGCGAAACUGGGAUUAAUACCGUAUGUGCCCUACGGGGGACAGAUUUAUCGGCAAAGGAUCGGCCCGCGUUGGAUGAGCUAGUUGGUGGGGUAAUGGCCUACCAAGGCGACGAUCCAUAGCUGGUCUGAGAGGCUGAUCAGCCACAUUGGGACUGAGACACGGGCCAACCUCCUACGGGUGGCAGCAGUGGGGAAUAUUGGACAAUGGGCGGAAGCCUGAUCCCGCCAUGCCGCCUGAGUAAUGAGGGCCUUAGGGGUGUAAAGCUCUUUCACCGGAGAAGAUAAUGACGGUAUCCGGAGAAGAAGCCCCGGCUAAGUUCGUGACAGCGGCCGCUGUAAGAC